rnacentral:rRNA from 1 species
AUCCUUUGAUUUUGGGGAGGAUAAAAAGCGAGUGGCACUUAUAAUACAUGCUAGGACGUGAAAUAAAGGGGUUUUAUGUUCGUACGAGUGAGGAAUGUCUUAGGCCUAGUUAGUGAAAAUGAGAGGGAAAAUAUAUUUUUGCAUAGUUUAUUAAUGGGUUGAGACCGUAUUAAGCUAUUAGAGUCAGAUCUAAGCUUAGAUGCGUAGUCGAGGGACCACGCUUCCACUGAAACAAGGGGGAGUCUCGUAUAGGGGCUGCAGUAGAGAAUAUUGUGCAAUAUAUGAAAGUAUGACACAGAGAUGUCGCAAUAAGGCUGUCUAAUAUACGUGCCAGCAGACGCGGUUAAACGUAAGGCCUGAGUUUUUAUUAUAAAAGGCGUAAAGGGUAUGUAGGCGCGAGAUAUGAGGGGGUUUAAAGGGGUAAAUAGAAUGAUUUAUGUAGGGGUGGAAAGUGAGGAUAUAAAUGAGAAUAUCAAGGGCGUAGGCAAUUUACUGGUAAAACUCAAAGCCGAUAUACGAAAGUAGGGGGAGCAAACGAGGGUAGUCGGCUCGGUAGUCCUUACUGUAAACUCUGAAUUUAAGAUUUAUGAAGAAUCUAUGAGAACUUAAGAAAAUUUCGCCUGGAGAGUAUGGUCGCAAGAUUAAAAUUUAAAAAAUUUGGCGGUUCACUAAAAUGUUUAGAGGAGCGUGUGGUUUAAUUCGAUGAUUCGCGAAUAAUUUUACCAGAACUAGANGGGGUGUAGAGUGGAUUAGAGUUAUUAUAUUGGGUCCCGGUAUUGCAUGGCCGUCGGCAGCUUAUGUUUUGAAAGAAAUAGAAUGUGCUCAAUCCUAGUUAUAAAUUAUAAGGGGUUAUGUCAGGUCGUUAUGAUCCUAAUGUUGUGGGCGAUACAUGCGCUACAUUUAUGUUUAUACAAAAAGGGGUAAGUUAGAAAGUAAAAGAUCGGAAUAUUUUUUGAAAUAGAAAGUAUGAAGUGGGAUUUAAUAGUAAUCGGAAAGUAGGGAGUUCUGGUGAAUAAUAACUUAGUGUUCGUACAAAUCGCCCGUCACCUUAACUAAGUAAAUAUUUCUAAAGUGUAAAGUGAUAAAGGAAGGGGUAAAACUGAAGGAAGGAGAAGGGUAAGUAAGGGCUUACUUUGUGCUUUAUAUAACGAAAAAUUUAUAAGGUCGAGAAAGUCGUAACAGAGUAAGNGGAUUGGAAAAUGUUCUUGGAUUAAU